GGAAGAGAGACCUCUCCGGUGGGGGGCCCGGUCUUCAACACCGGUGAGGCAUGUAAAACAUGCCUGGUAGGUUCGACUCCUGCCUCUUCCGCCA
rnacentral:tRNA from 1 species